UUUGAGAGAGAGGUCAUUGGCAUCCAGUUAAAAAGCGAGCAGAGCCUGGGCAGAGAUGGGCCGGUCCAUCCGGGAGAGCAUUUUGCUAACCGCUGCUGCGAAUAAAGGGCUGGAGGAUUUUGGGCCACGCCCGUUACAACGGGCUGGCUGCAAACGAAGGAAACUGCUCUCUCGAGUAUACCUUCGUCGGCCCAUCCAUGAACACCUGUUCCUGGCUUUCCUGCCCAGGUUCUGCUCGCCGCCGGUGCUUCUCCCCCUUUGCCUCUUGCCGCCGCCGGUGUCGGUCUCCACCACCAUGGCCAUCGCCGGCGCUUCAGGUUCCCCUGAAACUGUGUGUUCUGUGAUGGUAUCUGCCCUACCCGCCCUUUGAGUAGCUGGGGAUUUUCUCAAUUACGCUGACCGACUAACUGAUGUUAGUUGCCUUCACUGGUGCGAGUUAUCAGUACAUAUGAAUUGGUAAACCAUAAUGAGGAGAAAAAGGGAAGGAAUGUGAGACCCUAACAUGGGCUAUGAAAGAGAUCUAUAAUGAGAUGUUGAUUCGCCAAGCUGUGGUAAUGUUGUUGGCAUCAGGACCAGAUGAAGAGUAAAUACAGUUCAGGCCAUGCCACGCAAAUGCUUUCGGUGCACAAGGAUCACCCAUCCAGUUUUUCUUCAGCACAUACGUCUUGCGAAUCUUCAUCAUGGACUCGGCUGUUCACGUGGAAAAAUACCAUGGAAAAAUACAAGUCAUCUGCUGCACCGAGUAUAUCUCGAUUGCAUUCAGGAUGGGCGGGAGGGUGGCGUCUGGCGUAGCGACAAGCGAGACGGCAUGCUGGCCCGCCCCCUGCACCACCACCCUUUUCACCACCUCUGCAGAAAGGUAUUUCGGGGUGUAGUUCCGGCUGCCGUCCCACGAGGCGCCAUCGAUGAGGAUGUCGAACUGCCUCAGGGCGCUGCCCGACAGCUGCUGCAGUUCCGCGAAGUAGAGCACCAGGAGGGGAAGGGAAGCCCAUGAUGCCAUCCUGGCUGCCAGGUCACUCGACGACAGCGGGUUUUUCCUGAGAUUCCCUCCUUGGAAUAGACAGACAUAGGUUGCAGGGCUCUCCCUCGGGAACUGUGUGCAUACUGAGCUCCAAGUAGAUAAGGCCAGCAGCGAGGACCUAGUGCGCUUUUGGAUCUAUGCAUGGACCUCGAACCCUAGUCUCGUCCUGCAGGAGAAGGUGCUCCUGAUCGCCGAGCCGCCUGCGCAGAUCAAGCUGGAGAAGAUCUGUCCAUUCCUCUAGAGCUCUUCAUCUCACGGGAGGUGUACUGUUGGAAUAUCAAAUCAUCGUGGACCUCCUUCUCUCGGAGGACAUGCAGAACUCCAUGGAUUGUACUUCAGAUGAUGGUGUCAGUGGACACAACAACGAUCCGGAGUGUGACUGUGUACCUCACCUCUGACAGAGUAUGCUCUGAACGUCAAGACCUCCUCAUGUUAGCAAACCAUCAGAUUUAUCCAGGGGUUUCUGAUCUUAGAGUUUGGAAGCUUGAUCACUCUAAAUCCUUCUCAGUGGGAAACUUAUAUCAACUAGUGAAUUUUGGAGGAAUUUUGGAUCAAGCCUCUUUGGCGAUAUGGCAAAGUUCUGCUCCUAAAAAAUGCAAAAUCUUUGCAUGGCUUAUGCUAAAAAGAAGGAUCGAAGUCAGUCACACUUCAGUACCAAGGCGUGAUUGAUUCCGAUGCCUGCCCUUAUGAAUGUGGUCACGCUGAGACUGUUCGUCAUCUUGCGACUUCAUGCCCAAGAGCUGCAGCUGUUUGGCAAUCCUUUGGUUUCCCCGUUUCUGCUGAACACGAGGUUCAGGACCUCUUUUCUUCAGGUAAAAGUCUAAUGCCUCCAGCGUGGCUGCGGAUCUGGGACACGAUGGUAAUUGCAACUCUCUGGAAUCUAUGGGUUGCCAAAAUCGUAAAGUUUUUACAAUGUUCAUUUUACUCCCAAUGAUAAUUCGACAAUGUCAGGACACUUUCAAAAUGUGGGUUGUGAGAAUGAAGACCGAGAAACAAGCUGCCCAACGAUUGAAGAUUCUUGGCCUGACUAGAGGGUUUUUUCUCUUUGAUUGUUGUUUUUUUUCUUUCUCCCCUGUACUUCUUAUAAGUUCUUGUAAGUUUUAGCCUGCUUUGGCUCAGUUUUAUAAAA